rnacentral:rRNA from 1 species
ACAAGCGGUGGAUGAUGUGGAUUAAUUCGAUGCAACGCGAAGAACCUUACUACCCUUGACAUGUCCGGAACUUGCCAGAGAUGGCUUGGUGCCCGAAAGGGAAUCGGAACACAGGUGCUGCAUGGCUGUCGUCAGCUCGUGUCGUGAGAUGUUGGGUUAAGUCCCGCAACGAGCGCAACCCUUGUCACUAGUUGCCAUCAUUUGGUUGGGCACUCUAGUGAGACUGCCGGUGACAAACCGGAGGAAGGUGGGGAUGACGUCAAGUCCUCAUGGCCCUUAUGGGUAGGGCUUCACACGUCAUACAAUGGUCGGUACAGAGGGUUGCCAAGCCGCGAGGUGGAGCCAAUCCCUUAAAGCCGAUCGUAGUCCGGAUCGUAGUCUGCAACUCGACUCCAUGAAGUUGGAAUCGCUAGUAAUCGCGGAUCAGCACGCCGCGGUCGAAUACGUUCCCGGGCCUU